rnacentral:tRNA from 1 species
GCGGGCAAUAGGAUAACUAAAUUUGAUUUGAAAUCAAAUUCGUCGUGUUGAUUCACGAUGCUCGCU